AAAGCAGGUCGCAAUUGCAGUGCUUCAUCUUGUGGGAGUGCUGCCAUUAUCCUGCUGAAAGAAAAGUCGUGUUGACUGUUCUGAUUUUACCUUACUGGGAGCAAAAUCGUGACAUGUUGACACGAACAGCA